UCGCAGCAGCCGCACGGGGAGUACGCUCCCAUUCACGCUGCGUGGAAAGUCCCCGUGCCGUGGGGCAGCAAGUGCCAGCGGGAGACCGCACGGUUCUGGCCAAAGCGCGAGCGGCGAUGCCAUGGGCAGAUCUGCAGUGCUCGGCCAGUGCUGUUUGCAUCAGCACAGCCAUCUCGUGAGCAUCCACAAGGGCGCCAACUGAACGGGGCUUACUCUG
rnacentral:RNase_MRP_RNA from 1 species